rnacentral:rRNA from 1 species
UACAGAGGUCUCAAGCGUUGUUCGGAUUCAUUGGGCGUAAAGGGUGCGUAGGCGGCGCGGUAAGUCGGGUGUGAAAUCUUGGAGCUUAACUCCGAAACUGCAUUCGAUACUGCCGUGCUUGAGGACUGGAGAGGAGACUGGAAUUUACGGUGUAGCGGUGAAAUGCGUAGAUAUCAGGAGGAACACCAAUGGCGAAGGCAGCUCGCUGGAACGGUACUGACGCUGAGGCGCAAAAGCGUGGGGAGCAAACAGG